AGUGAACGCUGGCGGCGUGCCUAAUACAUGCAAGUCGAACGGAGAUUCAGUAGCUUGCUAUUUAAUCUUAGUGGCGCACGGGUGAGUAAUAUAUAGCUAACUUGCCCAUUACUAAGGGACAACAGUUGGAAACGACUGCUAAUACCUUAUACUCCGUAUCUAUAUAAGUAGAUACGGGAAAGUUUUUCGGUAAUGGAUAGGGCUAUAUCGUAUCAGCUAGUUGGUAAGGUAAUGGCUUACCAAGGCUAUGACGCGUAACUGGUCUGAGAGGAUGAUCAGUCAAACGGGAACUGAGACACGGGCCAGACUCCUACGGGAGGCAGCAGUAGGGAAUAUUGCUCAAUGGGGGAAAACCUGAAGCAGCAACGCCGCGUGGAGGAGGACACUUUUCGGAGCGUAAACUCCUUUUUUUGGGAAAGAAUUAUGACGGUACCCAAGGAAUAAGCACCGGCUAACUCCGUG
rnacentral:rRNA from 1 species